rnacentral:lncRNA from 1 species
CUGAAGGCAAUAAACUGCACUCUGCACCAGAAUUCUGGAAAUGGCUAAAAUAUUCUUGCAGCUGCUCGGUUUGAAUUUAAUUGGAUGUCUUCUGACAUCCUUUAAGCUACUUGAGGACAGACAAGGGACAGUUUUCCCUGUUGUCUUUGUAUCCCUAAUACUUAGCACAGUGCCUGGCUUUGCUUGUUGAAUGGAAUCCUCAAACUCACUUCUUCUCCCUUGAAAGUUUAAUUUCAGGGAUUUGGGAGACUAUUCACAUUAAUCAAGGAGUUCUUAAGAUCAAGAUCUUGGUGAACUGGGGUUUUUAAGUUUUUGCUUUUAAAAAUUUUUUUUAUAAAUGCAAGUCAGCAGUUUCCCUUGUAAUCAGAUGUAUUUUAUUUAAAAACAUUUUGAGAAGGUGGCUUCAGAAGAUUACUACCACAUAAAAAAGUGAGGACUCUCGCCCAAAUGCAAUUGAUUUCAUUUGUUUUGUUUCCAAGUUUUCAGGGAGGAGUCUUCUGGACAUUUUAUAUUGCACCCAAUAUUACCCCGAAAUGACCAUUCUAACACUUUAAUGGGCGCCACAGAAAGGGUGACGAAAGAGUACUGAGGAAGUGUUCACAUCUCAGUCUCUCCCAUGUACACUCUGAAACAGUUUCUGAGGAGGAAGCCACAGCAUCUUAUUCCCCUAUUUCGUUCCAGGUUUCCCAAGACUUCAGGAACACCUGCCCCAGAAGUCAACAUCUACCUCGUCCCUUAACCCCAUCCUCCCCAUCCCAGGUGGAGAGAGCGCUGAGUUCCACGCACUAGCUCCUGCAGAAGGAAUCUCAGCACAGGGUAGGAAGAUGAGAGUAUUGGGAUGAGGAUGUAGGAGCCCAAGGAUGGGGGUUGGGAGAAAAGUAGGCGUGCCCAGUCCUGCGCGCGCCGCCGCCGCCGCCGUCGCGUCACCAGCGUGCCGCACGUGUCCAUGUUUACGUCCCUCGUGGAGCCGGACGACGUCAGCAGCAGAAUGAUCUCCGGACGGCGUCCGCUUCUUGCCCUUCCCCACUGUUCGCUGAGGCGGGACUACGUGGGGCCCUCUGUUUCCCUGACGGGAAAGGAGCGGCGAGCAGCGGAGCGGUGGGCGGCGGCGGCCGGAGAGGAGCGAGUUGCCGCAGCGCUGGCGCUUGUAAACAGAUCCUAUCACACGUGACCAUGUGAACUACCUGCUUGGGCGACGCGUAUUGUCUUUCUCGGCGGCCGGAGCCGAGCAACCGCCGCCGCCGUCUCGCGCGCCACAAAGAGCGCGGCCAAGCCCCGGGGCCGCGAGCGCUUGUGCGCGAGACCGAGCGCGGGCGCGACCCGGACUCGCUCCCCCAGUCCUCCUCUUGCUCUAAGAUGGCUGAUGGUGGCCGGUGAGGGGGGCGGCCGGGGCCGGUGAGUUUCUCGGAGCAGGGCGGGGGAGAGGGAAAGGGGCAGCCGGGAGC